UAAGGAUUAGUUUAAUAAAAACGCUUGAUUUCGACUCAAGAAAAUUCAGCCAAAACCCUGGAAUCCUUUU
rnacentral:tRNA from 1 species